GCUUGGGGCUGUAGUGCUAUUUUCAGGUGCUUUAAUUACACUACAUCACUUUAGGGUCAGUUACAUAGAAGGAUGUAACCACAUAUUCAAGAUUGGAUGGAAACCAAAUGUAAACAUUUCAGAAUCAAUCAAUGAAAAUCCUAUAUCGAUUGACCAAUAAUAGGAAUAUAUGGGGGAUGUGAAUGUUGAGGGUGGUUACAAGCUGGUAUAACAUUUCUGCUCUGAUACUAGCAUCUUCCUUUUUGCCUCUGAGACAAGUCAUGUUAUCGUAAGUGAGCCCCACAUCUGACAAGGUCUACCUUACUAUCCCCUGGCACUCUCUGAAAGGGUGUAGCCCUGGAGUCAAGUCUGAGGAGGGAGGGGGGAGUGUAUUGGACGAGGGUUUAAGUAUGCUAAGCACACAGUCGCUGGGUAUCAGUGGAACAAAGGCGGUUCUAUGGUUGAGGUGCUCUAGUGCAUGGGCAGAGCAGAACAGAGGCCUGACCAGUGUUUUAAUGACAAAUGCAGAAUAUCAAAUAAACUUGCUCUUCACCAUCAUUAUUAUUAUUACUAUUUAUUAUUGUUGCUAUCUUUUAGACCAAGCACCAGAGAACUGAGCUCAGCUACCUGGUGGAUAGGCCCCGUCGUGUUAACAGUUCAGCGUUUCAAGAGGCAGAUAUCGUCAGCUCUAAAGACAGCGGACAUGGAGAUAGCGAGCAGGGAGACAGCGACCAUGACGCCACCAACCGGGGCCACACAGCAGGAGCUGAUCUUUUUUCCAACUGCACUGAAGAGUGCAAGGCUCUGGGUCACUCCGACCGUUGCUGGAUGCCCUCCUUCAUGCCUGGCGACAAUCGUCAGGGCGCCGAUUACCGUAGCAACCUGCACGUCCCGGGAAUGGACGCGGUGCCGGACACUGAGGUACAGGAGAGCGUGGUUCCGGGCGAUGCGUGCAAUCGGGCCGAUGAUAGAUCAUUCUCCACAUUCGGCAAAGACAAGUCACACCACGGCACGCUCACACGCCACGAGCUACACACACUCUUACCAAGCGCCCGAGCGCCUUACAAACCCAACUAUCUGUCACGCAAAAGGAUUUCCUAGCACCUUCCGCGUGGACAUUCCUGAAAAAGCGUGAGUUUGCACAGUAACGCAACCGGCCAAAAGCAUCAAGGGUUUCUUUUUUUAAAUUUCCCUUCGUUUAUUUUUUUUAUUGAACUCAAUCACGGACGAUCUGGUCGUUCCCAGCUCUGUCGGACGUCUGAAACAGAUUAAAUCGGAUGCGAUCCGAUGACGUAAGGACCCUGAGAAUUCUCAGCAGGACUGAGAAACCUCGCCAAAUCUCCUCCGAAAAAACUGGAUGAGAAGAGGGAUGAACAGAGGGAGAGAGCUCAAAAAGAGGAUUAGGAGUGAUGGAGAGACAAAAGGAGAAAAAUUGAUGAUCAAUGGACACGGUUGUUUCCUCACUCUCUCCGCUCUAUGAUCAAUGUGUCUCUGUUUACAGUCCACUGUAAACUAUACCAACUAUCUGAGCCCUUUACCCGUUUCGACAUGCACACACACACACACACACACACACACACACACACACUGUACAAACGUACUGUACAAAGAGCAGCCCAAACUAUGUGCUUUAUAAACUCAACUAUCCGUUUUAGACUUGACUGUUUUCUAUAGUCAUUUAUUUUUUCUUCUUAAUCAGUGUGGUCAAGUGUUCUUCUGAAGUUACUAUCUUUAGAAAAAGCGUGGAUGCGGGGGACAAAAAACAUGGAAAAAGUAAAAAAAAAAAAAAAAAAAAAAAAAAAAAAGACGAUUCUGUCCUCUCAUUGGCCUACAGAUACGUCAUCUGACAUUGUGGUUAUCUUCACGUGUGCAAGUGUGUACUGUUCUCUUUUAAAGCUUAAAAUAAUUAUAAACCUAUAUAUAUAUAAACAUAUAUAUAUAAUAUAUAAAUAUACUUUUUUCUGAACCUGUGUAGCCCAUUGGAUAGUUUCCUAAACACCAUAUUGCCAUAAACCAAUACAAAGUGCUGAAAAGACUUGCAUUAAAAUUGGGGCUUCGAAUUGUGUGGCCUCUCUGUCUAUAAGUGCAGAAUUAUUUUAUGCUGUAGUCAUUUGACAUAAUUCUUUCUCAAACGCACACAAAUUACAUACAAUAUAUAGGUGAGAUCAGGAGUAGUCUUAAAUACAAAAACAUUUUUGAACAUUUACAUGGUUAAUUAUCGCUCAUGUAAAAAUAUAUAGUUCAUGAUAUAUACAGAACAGACAUUGAACUUUUGUGACAACAUGCCCUACAAAUUAAUGGUAACAAAAAUAUGUUUUUGUUUUCGCAAUUUGCCCCAAUAUAAAUGUGACAACUAACUUGCUGAAGAACAAAAUACUUCUUAUGUGUUGUGUUGUUUUAUUGUAUUUACUUGUUUCCUCAACCAUUUAAAAAAAAAAAUGCUAUUAGAAUUUUAAUUUGGAGGACUUUACAAACAUGUUCUAGGAAUGAAACCAGAUGUCUGCAACCCACAUCGACAUUCACUGCUAACAAAAACAUGUUUUUGUGAUUCGACUCAUCCAGUCCUUUGUGACAUCUCACCCGGUCUCCUGUCUCUCUCUAUAUAACACACAUUAGAUCACAGGCUCAUAGUUUCAUUCAAAGCAAUCCAGAACAUCUUUUGCUUCUUGGCCUGAAACGAUAAGCACGAGUAUGAAAGACUUUGAUUGCGGAUGUUUAUUCAGUCCUGCCACACUGACUGUGAUUAGAGAGCUGUUUUGAACAUUAAACUUCUCUGGCCUUUUCUCCAGUGUUUCUGAUUGGCCAUUAGGAAAAUAAAACACCCAGUUUUAUGCCAUGGAUCAAAUCAGCAUGUAUGAGCUGAAAACUCCUGCAUGACUAAUCAGCAACAGAAAAACAUCAAACACUUUAUUUACUAAGAGGACACAUAUGGUAGAAAUUCCUUUUCUCUUGCACAAACGGACACGAUGAGUCUUCACAAUAACAGAAUGACAGCUAUAAAGUAAAGAUGAGGUCUCCGUUUAGACCAGCAUCCCAGUGGGGUUUAUCCACACCACUUGAUAUUGAGAUCUUUAAUGAUUUAUUAAUGCUUUUCCCUGGUUGUGGUUGUUAAUUUUAGUUUAGUAAAGGUUUGUUUUAAUUAAUAUAUUUUACACUAUAGUACAAAAAAUAAAUAAAACACACACACACGUUUACUUAGCUAUCUAAAUGGAGACAUUCCAUAGGCGUAAUGGUUUUUAUACUGUACAAACAGUAUAUUCUAUCGCUCUACACGAACCCUACACCUAAACCUACCCCUUACAGGAAACUUUCUGAAUUUUUACAAUUUAUUAAAACCGUGUUUACUUUAUUUUUAUACAAGUUUUACAAAUGAGGACAUCCCCAAAGUUUUUUUUUUUUUUUUUGGAGAUGUUGUCAGGUUUAGCUCAAUUUUGGGUACAAAUUUGUCCCCAAAAUAUGGUUAAGUAGGUACACACACACAGGUUUGUUUUUAUGGUUUAUGGGGACACUCCAUAGGCGUAAUGGUUUUUAUACUGUACAAACCGUAUUUUCUAUUGCCCUCACCAACCCUACCCCUAAACCUACCCCUCACAGAAAACUUUUUGCAUUUUUAGAUUUUCAAAAAAACUCAUUCUGAAUGAUUUAUAAGCCUUUUGAAUUACGGGGACACUGAAAAUGUCCUCAUAAAUCACCUUCUCGUUGUAAUACCUAUGUCAUACCCAUGUUAUUAUACAAAUUUGUGUCCUCAUAAACCACAUAAACAUGCACACACACAAACACAUUAUUUUAUAUAUUAAAUAUUUAUUUAGUAAAUAAAUUAAAUUAAAUUAAAUGACAUGCCAAAUUAUGGGUUAUCCUCCAUUUUUAAAUACAAAAUAAAAAUAUAUAAAUACAUGUACUGUAUAUGCA
ensembl:lncRNA uncharacterized LOC107564018